AAUUAUCUUUCUCAUCUCAAUUAGUAAUAUGAGCUGGUGAUAGAAAUGUAAUGUGCCAUCUGGUUUCAAUUUAUCUCUGUGUAGUGGUAAAGACAGGAAGUACCAUAAAUUAAUGUACACAGAGUUUGAGGCCAAAUUAAGGGUAGAGCAUUUCUUCUUUGUAUAUAUUUCCAUUAUAACUUAUAACAUCAAAGAUAAAAAAAAAUAUAUAUAUAUAAUUAUUUUUUUAUUAUAAUAUAUAACAAAUAUUCAAGAUUUAGGCAAUUGAUAUUUAUAAUUAGGGGCAAAUUUCAAAGGGAUCACACUGUCACAAUACCCUAAGCAACCUUGAUCAACAUAUUCAAAAUUUGAACUGGACAUGAACAUGCAUACAACAAACAAAGAUGUCUUCUAUCAUGAACAAAGUAAUAUGAAUUUUACAAAGGAUUUAGAUCCAAAAGUUCCAAUUAAUUCUAUUGACACUGGAUAGUGCAUAUGAUAGCCUUCAGUUGACAUGACUCUUGGAUUUAGGAAGAUUGGUGUUUACACAUAAUUUGGAUAACAUCUUUUGUAUUUGAAAUCAGAAAAUUCAACUUUAAGGACAGUGAGUACAGAGAAACAGAACUAAAGGAUACACAGAUAUGUAACACAACAACCUAUAGAGGACAGAGAAAAUUUUGUUUUAUUAUUAAAUCAUACUUUUUUAAA